CCUGGCGGCCGUAGCGCGGUUGUCCCACCUGACCCCAUGCCGAACUCAGAAGUGAAACGCCGUAGCGCCGAUGGUAGUGUGGGGUCUCCCCAUGCGAGAGUAGGGAACUGCCAGGC
rnacentral:rRNA from 2 species